CAAUAUUUGGCCGAUUAGGCAAAUGUCAGUUCCCAGCGGAUAUGAUGGUGAGAGUGAGUGAUAAAUUAAAGCGAGGGAUAAACAUAUACAGAAAGGGGAAAAAGGGAAAAUAUAAACAAAUGGCCGAAGUUGAGUAAACAGAAUUAGUAGCGAAUCGAAGAAAAUUGUAUUGCAAGAAGAGAGUUGAACGGUGAAUAAAUCUAGAUUGUAUUUGAGGUAGAGUGAAUUACGUGGAGUUUGGUCAGCAGAUAACAAUUAAGUACACUCUGACGCAGGACAGUACAGUGGUGCUCAAACUAUCGAAGACAGCCCACGGACUUUUAGACGACAAUUAGACGAACGACACAGAAAGCGAGUAGAACAGGCAGACAAGUCUACGUGGACGAUUGAGACGGAAGUUAAAGGAGAAGAACAAACUAAAAUUGUGAGUAGAAAUGUUACAAAAAAGAUUAUAUUUGUAAAAAAAUGUAAAACAACCCACAAACUUAAAUUUUAAUUAAACUUCCACAGUUUGAUCAUCCUUUCAAAGGUUGAUUCUCAAAAACGGUUUCGUUUAAAAUCCGACCGUCCGAACAAAAUCAAAAAUUUUAUAUCGGAUUACUUCGGAAUGGCUUCCUCUCCUUCGAAAAAUGAGCAAUGUUUGUUCUGCUCAAUGUCGGAGUCGAUGUCGGAGGAUGUGGAUUGGGUCCAAUGUGGGAAAUGUAGGCAAUGGGCUCAUUUCUCCUGCGCUGGCGUAGACCAGGA